UACGAACCACCCAAACGUUAUUCGGAAUUACUGGGCUUAAAGAGUGCGUAGGCGGCCUUGAAAGUCGGGUGUGAAAUCCCACAGCUCAACUGUGGAACUGCGCUCUAAACUACAUGGCUAGAGGGAUAUAGAGGUGAGCGGAACUGAUGGUGGAGCGGUGAAAUGCGUUGAUAUCAUCAGGAACACCGGUGGCGAAGGCGGCGAUCUGGGCAGAUACUGACGCUGAGGUGCGAAAGCGUGGGGAGCAAACAGG
rnacentral:rRNA from 1 species